rnacentral:tmRNA from 1 species
GGGGGUGAACAGGGUUCGACGGAAAUGAGAGAAGUAAUGACAGCAGGCCGGAGUUGGUCGAUGGCUCCGCAAAAAUCGACUGAAAAAUAAACAACAAAACUGUUUUUGUGCAGCAGCUAACACCAAAGACUUAUGAAUUUAGCGCGUCUGCACUUCCAAUUGCUGCUUAAAGUAGCUUCGUUUUACCUUAGAUACCUGCUAUAGGGAUGAAAUGACAAGAGCGGGUUAAUUUUAAGUGGUUUGUGCCGUCAUUUAAAAUGAAAAAAUGGCACUGGUUUAUAACGUAACACCGUCCGAUUGUAGCGCUAUAAAUGAGAUAAAUUUUCGGACUAAGCCUGUAGUUGGUCUUACUAAAACAUUUUCGGACGCGGGUUCAAUUCCCGCCACCUCCAUUU